rnacentral:rRNA from 1 species
CGAAGGUAGCAUAAUCAGUAGUCUUUUAAUUGAAGGCUGGUAUGAAUGGUUGGACGAAAUAUUAACUGUUUCAUUUGAAUUUAUUAUAGAAUUUUAUUUUUUAGUUAAAAAGCUAAAAUUAAUUUAAAAGACGAGAAGACCCUAUAAAUCUUAAUAUUUAUUUUAUUUUAAUUAUAAAGAUUAUUUCAAUUAUAAUAAAGUUUAAAUAUUUUAUUGGGGUGAUAUUAAAAUUUAAUAAACUUUUAAUUUUUAAAUAACAUUAAUUUAUGAAUAAUUGAUCCAUUAUUAUUGAUUAAAAAUUUAAGUUACUUUAGGGAUAACAGCGUAAUUUUUUUGGAGAGUUCAUAUCGAUAAAAAAGAUUGCGACCUCGAUGUUGGAUUAA